AACGAACGCUGGCGGCAGGCUUAACACAUGCAAGUCGAGCGCCCCGCAAGGGGAGCGGCAGACGGGUGAGUAACGCGUGGGAAUCUACCCAUCUCUACGGAAUAACGCGUGGAAACGUGUGCUAAUACCGUAUACGUCCUUCGGGAGAAGGAUUUAUCGGAGAUGGAUGAGCCCGCGUUGGAUUAGCUAGUUGGUGGGGUAAAGGCCUACCAAGGCGACGAUCCAUAGCUGGUCUGAGUGGAUGAUCAGCCACACUGGGACUGAGACACGGCCCAGACUCCUACGGGAGGCAGCAGUGGGGAAUAUUGGACAAUGGGCGCAAGCCUGAUCCAGCCAUGCCGCGUGAGUGAUGAAGGCCCUAGGGUUGUAAAGCUCUUUCACCGGUGAAGAUAAUGACGGUAACCGGAGAAGAAGCCCCGGCUAACUUCGUGCCAGCCGCCGCAGUAACAC
rnacentral:rRNA from 1 species